rnacentral:rRNA from 1 species
CCUACGGGCGGCUGCAGUGAGGAAUAUUGGUCAAUGGACGAGAGUCUGAACCAGCCAAGUAGCGUGAAGGAUGACUGCCCUAUGGGUUGUAACCUUCUUUUAUAAAGGAAUAAAACGAGGCACGUGUGCCUUUUUGCAUGUACUUUAUGAAUAAGGAUCGGCUAACUCCGUGCCAGCAGCCGCGGUAAUACGGAGGAUCCGAGCGUUAUCCGGAUUUAUUGGGUUUAAAGGGAGCGUAGAUGGGUUGUUAAGUCAGUUGUGAAAGUUUGCGGCUCAACCGUAAAAUUGCAAUUGAUACUGGCAGUCUUGAGUACAGUUGAGGUAGGCGGAAUUCGUGGUGUAGCGGUGAAAUGCUUAGAUAUCACGAAGAACCCCGAUUGCGAAGGCAGCUUACUAAACUGUGACUGACAUUGAUGCUCGAAAGUGUGGGUAUCAAACAGGAUUAGAUACCCUUGUAGUC